rnacentral:rRNA from 1 species
UACGAAGGGGGCUAGGCGUUGCUCGGAAUCACUGGGCGUAAAGCGCACGUAGGCGGACUCUUAAGUCGGUGGUGAAAUCCUGGAGCUCAACUCCAGAACUGCCUUCGAUACUGAGAGUCUCGAGUCCGGGAGAGGUGAGUGGAACUGCGGAGUGUAGAGGUGAAAUUCGUAGAUAUUCGCAAGAACACCAGUGGCGAAGGCGGCCUCACUGGUCCGGUUCUGACGCUGAGGCGCGAAAGCG